ACCAGAGUGGUGUAGUGGUUUGAGUGAUGGACUAUUACUCUGGAGAUCAGGGUUCGAUUCACUGCUGGGCCA